GACAACGUGGUGGAGUGGUUAACACGUUCGCCUGCUAUUACUGGCACACCGGUACAGUUGAGCGGAUGCCUUCGGGCGCGCAAGUUCGAAUCUUGUCGUUGUCG
rnacentral:tRNA from 1 species